rnacentral:rRNA from 1 species
UACGGGGGGGGCAAGCGUUGUUCGGAAUUACUGGGCGUAAAGGGCUCGUAGGUGGCCAACUAAGUCAGACGUGAAAUCCCUCGGCUUAACCGGGGAACUGCGUCUGAUACUGGAUGGCUUGAGAUUGGGAGAGGGACGCGGAAUUCCAGGUGUAGCGGUGAAAUGCGUAGAUAUCGUAAGGAAGACCAGUGGCGAAGGCGGGUCUCUGGACAGUUCCUGACGCUGAGGCACGAAGGUCAGGGGAGCAAACGGG